rnacentral:misc_RNA from 1 species
CCGAUUUUGUAGAUUUUUAUCAUUUCUGUUUCGGGCUUUGACGAACUCGCGCUUGUUUCUAGUCAUUUGAACUAUCGGCAUUUAUAUUUUGUACAUACACAAACUUCAACCAUGUGUGGGGGAUUCACGUGUUCCAAGAAUGCUCUUACAGCGCUCAACAUUAUGUACAUCAUUGUCUCUUUCAUUCUCAUUGGCGUGGCCGCAUAUGGCCGCGUGUCGAGCAUCGUGACCAACAUCACCAUAUUUGGUGCGGUGAUAGCCUGUGGCGUGUUCCUGCUGCUUCUCUCCCUCGUCGGUCUCAUUGGAGCUGUCAAGCACCACCAAGUGCUGCUCUUCUUUUACAUGGUGAUCCUGUUCCUGCUUUUUGUGGUACAGUUCAGUGUGGCCUGUGCCUGUCUGGCCAUGACAGAGGACCAGGAACGAGAGCUGGCCAGCCAGGGCUGGAAGAAGGCCUCCCCUGCAGUCAGGGCCCAGGCAGAGCGCAUAUUCCGAUGCUGUGGCUUUGAACGCAAUGCCUCCGACCCCACGGCAGAGCUACAGUGCGAGCACGUGCCAACGUGCUGCCCACCGCAGGAGAUUCCUCCUGAUGGCAUAUGCGAGUGCCAAGGGUGCUGGUCUGCUCUGCAUCAAGCUAUUCGCAAUGGGCUCAAGAUCACAGGUGGCAUUGGAAUGUUCUUCAGCUUCACUGAGUUCAUCGGGGUGUGGUUGACGGUGCGGUACCGCAACCAGAAGGAUCCUCGUGCUAACCCUAGCGCCUUUCUGUAACCACUAACACCCACUCUCCAGUGGCUUCUUGAAAUGGCUCUUUUGCGAGGGGGCUCUCUCUGGUGCCACGAGUUGGUGGCUGUAUUUGUGGCUUACCGUUACCGGCUUCAAAAAGACCCCGAAGUGGAUCCUUACCUUCUACUGGGUGGAGGAGCUCGUGUCACGUGACAAGCCACCCUUCUCCCUUCCUUCUCUCCUCUUAUAUUUUCUGACAUUCCUAGCUCCCCUCUACACAUACAUGCACCCACACAUGCACAUUGACACCAAAGCCUUCUCACACUAUAACUCUCAUUUCUUGUGUGUCUUACUUUAUUCCACGGUGAUUGCUCUAUAGUACAUAUUGUAUGAUGCAGGUCAUUCAAGAACACUUUGGCAGUGCUAGAAAUACUCGUGAGGCAGUAACAUAGUUAUACUGUGAGAAUAAUCACGCUCUAGUGGAAUAAUAAUGCCAGAUCAUUGCUGUCAGGCCGGCUCAUUCAUUUUUGUCACCCACUUUCUCUAGUGCUGUUGCCAGCCUUCGUAACAUGCUCUCAGAGUUCUUUGAAUUCAACGAUUUGCAUGAUUAGACGGGCCUUAUUUUUUUGCACAGUGGAGAUAUACAAAUGAACAUUGCAUUGUGGGUGGUGACGUGGAGCAAGAAUUUUUAAUGUCACUUCAUUUUUUUUAUAGUUUGUAUGUCCAUUCUUUAUUCUUGGUGACUAGCCUAUAAGUAAAAAUUGCUUGCCAUAUCUCAAUGCUCUAGGCCACUGGACACGAUUGUCAUUGGCACUAGUGUGCAAUCUUUGGUGGCAUUCGUGACAAGGCAUAGGUGACAAAAAGAAGGGGACCGUUACUAAACAGGCCCAUUGUGAACUGUGGGGACACUCAGAUACCUUUGUUACGAGGAUGGCCCUAAUUACAUCAGCAAUUUUAGCCAAGUGCACAAGCUUAAUAGCAAUGUGCUUGGCUACCUAGGUUGUACUCUUGAUUGGCAGAGUGGUGGC